AAACUUUCGAGAUGGGACUGACCUCGCCCUAAUAGGACACCAUUUGAAAAGGGCAAUCAUCGAACGGUUCAUAUUGCUUAGUAAGAUUUUUGGACCUUUUCAAUUUCAAAAAAUUAAAAAUAAUUUUUAUGAUAAUUAUUGACAAUUUUUGGGCUUUAUUGAGGUGCGAUCGAAUCGAUGAUAGCUCACCAGCGCCCGAGACCAAGUUUUUUGUCAAACUUGGCUGCCUAGCGGCUUAUCCUAGAAUAUAAUCAAUAUUACAAUCGAUCCUAGUAUUUUCAGACAUUCCGAACCUGUUCUAGCUGUCAGAUUUGGCGUAGGUAAAUGCAAACUCCAAGUUGUUCAUUUUGCCUAAUACCAAGUUUAGAAUAAAAUUCAUAAA
rnacentral:misc_RNA from 1 species